AAUAUAUAUGCUUGCUUAAAGGUAUGGGAAGUGAAAGCAGCUGACUUGACAAUUAGCCCUGUGCACCGUGCAGCUACCGGCAUUGUGGACCCUGAUAAGGGAAUUUCUCUUCGUUUUCCUCGUCUACUCCGUGUACG